CACGUAGGGGGCGAGCGUUGUCCGGAUUUAUUGGGCGUAAAGAGCUCGUAGGUGGCUCGGUAAGUCGGGUGUGAAAUUUCGAGGCUCAACCUCGAGACGCCACCUGAUACUGCUGUGGCUAGAGUCCGGUAGGGGAGCGUGGAAUUCCUGGUGUAGCGGUGAAAUGCGCAGAUAUCAGGAGGAACACCAGCGGCGAAGGCGGCGCUCUGGGCCGGUACUGACACUGGAGGAGCGAAAGCAUGGGGAGCGAACAGG
rnacentral:rRNA from 1 species